AAAGAUUUCUAAGGAAAAGCGUUCUGCAUCCUCUGGCUUGGCCUUGUUGGCCCAUGGCCCUCUUUCAAGGACAUUCACUCUGAUUCCCAGUGUGCCAUAUCCACUGGCCACGUUCUCUAAGAAAGAACAAUAGCAUCUGUUUUUGUCUCCAAAUGACUGUAGGGUAGGGCUGUGGGUUCAGCGCCCAUAAACCAAAAUGAGGCAGGGAUUGGGGCUUGCCCUAUGAUGCGCUGAUGAGCAACAGAAAUGGGUAGAGGCAAGCAGCAUAGCACUGGGCAAGAGCACUGGACUGGGAGUCCAGAGAUGCUGCUUCACCCUGGGGCUUUAGGCAAGUCCCUUUCCCUCCCAGAGCCUCAGCAUCCUUUCUAUCAAAUGAUGACUUUCUGCCUUUCUCCCAGGGUGGCCAUGGGGAUCAAGGGAGACAGUGGCCAUAGGGAUGCUGUGUUAACUGCAGAUGUGGCCGUAGGAGCACUUUGCUAACUGCCAAUGUGAGUUCAGACUCUUCAGAGUAUUUGACACCCAGGUUUAUGGUGAGGUGUGACAUAUGGGAUGUAAGGUUUAAUGCCUGCUCCGACUCCAGUCUUGCUAACACAUGCGAAACAUUUGGCAAAUCAUGACCCUCCCUUGGGGAAAAGAGCAGUCUGGGAGAGCUUCUCCAAGGCAGCCUGGCUUCAACGCAGUCCGGGGCAUGACUGAGAUAGAAUUAUGUGGCGAGGAAUUGGAGGGUAUCUGGGUACAGAGCUGCAGUGUGGGCAGAGGUGUAGUGUGGGCCGCAUCCAGGACAGCCACUGGCCAAAGCAGGGAACAGAGACGGAAUGAGGAAGAGCUCUGUGGGGAGGGUGGGGCAUAGGGUGGAGAACCUUCAAAGUCCGAAGAGUAUGACUUGUUGGGGCUCAAUGCUGUAGGUAGUAGGGAGCCAUGGAAGGCUCUUAGGUGGAGAAAUGACAGCUGGACAUUAGCGAGCAAGCCCUGUCUCCAUGAGCAACACCGGUGGUCCUCUGAGCACGCCAGGCACGAGUGUGCAGGGAGCUGCUGCAAAUGCCUCGGUGUGCGGGUGAGCUUCCGCGUUGUGACUCUGCCCAUGUGUGUGCUUCAGUGUGCUGAGUGGCUGCACGCCCCAGAUCUGUGCUGCACGUGCCAGCCAGUGAGGGUGCUGGGCACCGGGAGGUGGCGGGGAAGGAGGCGUAUGUGUGUUGUGGA
rnacentral:lncRNA from 10 species